UGGCUUCGACAGUAAAGAACCUGCCUGCAAAGCAGGAGACCCAGGUUCGAUCCCUGG
rnacentral:tRNA from 1 species